UACGUAGGGGGCGAGCGUUGUCCGGAUUUAUUGGGCGUAAAGAGCUCGUAGGCGGCUUGGCAAGUCGGGUGUGAAACCUCCAGGCUCAACCUGGAGACGCCACUCGAUACUGCUAUGGCUAGAGUCCGGUAGGGGACCACGGAAUUCCUGGUGUAGCGGUGAAAUGCGCAGAUAUCAGGAGGAACACCGGUGGCGAAGGCGGUGGUCUGGGCAUUAACUGACGCUGAGGAGCGAAAGCAUGGGGAGCGAACAGG
rnacentral:rRNA from 1 species